UCUGGUUGAUCCUGCCAGUAGUCAUAUGCUUGUCUCAAAGAUUAAGCCAUGCAUGUCUAAGUAUAAGCAAUCUAUACAGUGAAACUGCGAAUGGCUCAUUAAAUCAGUUAUCGUUUAUUUGAUAGUACUUUACUACUUGGAUAACCGUGGUAAUUCUAGAGCUAAUACAUGCUAAAAUCUGUGGCAUUUUGUCAUGGAUGUAUUUAUUAGAUAAAAAACCAAUGUCUUCGGACUCUUUGGUGAUUCAUAAUAACUUUUCGAAUCGCAUGGCCUUGCGCUGGCGAUGGUUCAUUCAAAUUUCUGCCCUAUCAACUUUCGAUGGUAGGAUAGUGGCCUACCAUGGUUUCAACGGGUAACGGGGAAUAAGGGUUCUAUUCCGGAGAGGGAGCCUGAGAAACGGCUACCACAUCCAAGGAAGGCAGCAGGCGCGCAAAUUACCCAAUCCUGACACGGGGAGGUAGUGACAAUAAAUAACGAUACAGGGCCCAUUGGGUCUUGUAAUUGGAAUGAGAACAAUUUAAAUACCUUAACGAGGAACAAUUAGAGGGCAAGUCUGGUGCCAGCAGCCGCGGUAAUUCCAGCUCUAAUAGCGUAUAUUAAAGUUGUUGCAGUUAAAAAGCUCGUAGUUGAACUUUGGGCCUGAUCUGCCGGUCCGCCGCAAGGUGAGCACUGGUUUAGAUCGGGCCUUUCCUCCUGACUAACCUUGAUGUCUUUAAUCGGAUGUCUUGGCGGCUCAGGACUUUUACUUUGAAAAAAUUAGAGUGUUCAAAGCAGGCCUUCGCUCGAAUAUAUUAGCAUGGAAUAAUAGAAUAGGACGUAUGGUUCUAUUUUGUUGGUUUCUAGGACCGUCGUAAUGAUUAAUAGGGACAGUCGGGGGCAUCAGUAUUCAAUUGUCAGAGGUGAAAUUCUUGGAUUUAUUGAAGACUAACUACUGCGAAAGCAUUUGCCAAGGAUGUUUUCAUUAAUCAAGAACGAAAGUUAGGGGAUCGAAGACGAUUGACAGUAUUCUGGUCGUCAACAGUGACCUGAAAGGGAAGCUAGUCUCUUUGGAGGCAACACCGUCAAAUUGCGGGGACAUCCUAAAGAUUUUGCUACCAAGCCGUGGUCGAAAGACAUGCGGUGGCCGAGUUAAUAGCCCUGGGUAUGGUAAAAACGCAAAAUAUGUUACAAUGGACAAUCCGCAGCCAAGCUCUAAGCUCGCAAGAGUAUGAGUGCAGUUCACAGACUAGAUGUCGGUGGGCCUUCGGGCUUAAGAUAUAGUCGAGCCAGUUCUGAAAGGAAUUGGGGUAAAUGCAGAUACCGUCGUAGUCUUAACCAUAAACUAUGCCGACUAGGGAUCGGGCGAUGUUCUUUUUUGACUCGCUCGGCACCUUACGAGAAAUCAAAGUUUUUGGGUUCUGGGGGGAGUAUGGUCGCAAGGCUGAAACUUAAAGGAAUUGACGGAAGGGCACCACCAGGAGUAAACAAUUACCAGCCGCGGUAACUCUGCUCCAGAAAGCAGCCUGAAAGGGUUAGUGGUGCUUUUUAAAUGCUAGUCUCUCUGGAGGCAACACGCUCAAAUUGCGGGAAAAUCCUAAAGAUUUCAUUACCAAGCUAUAUAUUGAAAGAUUGUAGUGGCCGAGCUAAUAGCCCUGGGUAUGGUAAGAAUAUGAAAUAUGCAACAAUGGGUGAUCCGCAGCCAAGCUUCUAAGUCUUAGGAUAUGAAGAAGGUUCAGAGACUAAACGGGUGUGGGUGGCGCGA
rnacentral:rRNA from 1 species